rnacentral:tRNA from 1 species
ACCUGGCUGGUUCAGUUGGCAGAGCAUGUGAUUCCUGAUCUUGGGGUUGUGAGUUCAAGCCCCAUGUUGGGUG